GACGAACGCUGGCGGCGUGCUUAACACAUGCAAGUCGAACGGAAAGGCCCGGCUUUUGUGGGGUGCUCGAGUGGCGAACGGGUGAGUAACACGUGAGUAACCUGCCCUUGACUUUGGGAUAACUUCAGGAAACUGGGGCUAAUACCGGAUAGGAGCUCCUGCUGCAUGGUGGGGGGUGGAAAGUUUCGGCGGUUGGGGAUGGACUCGCGGCUUAUCAGCUUGUUGGUGGGGUAGUGGCUUACCAAGGCUUUGACGGGUAGCCGGCCUGAGAGGGUGACCGGCCACAUUGGGACUGAGAUACGGCCCAGACUCCUACGGGAGGCAGCAGUGGGGAAUAUUGCACAAUGGGCGGAAGCCUGAUGCAGCAACGCCGCGUGCGGGAUGACGGCCUUCGGGUUGUAAACCGCUUUCGCCUGUGACGAAGCGUGAGUGACGGUAAUGGGUAAAGAAGCACCGGCUAACUACGUG
rnacentral:rRNA from 1 species